rnacentral:rRNA from 1 species
CGUCCAGACUCCUACGGGAGGCAGCAGUGGGGGAUAUUGCACAAUGGGGGAAACCCUGAUGCAGCGACGCCGCGUGGGCGAAGAAGUAUUUCGGUAUGUAAAGCCCUAUCAGCAGGGAAGAAGAAAUGACGGUACCUGAGUAAGAAGCACCGGCUAAAUACGUGCCAGCAGCCGCGGUAAUACGUAUGGUGCAAGCGUUAUCCGGAUUUACUGGGUGUAAAGGGAGCGCAGGCGGCACGGCAAGCCUGAUGUGAAAGCCCGCGGCUCAACCCCCGGACUGCUCUGGAAACUGUACGGCUGGAGUGCAGGAGAGGUAAGUGGAAUUCCUAGUGUAGCGGUGAAAUGCGUAGAUAUUAGGAGGAACACCAGUGGCGAAGGCGGCUUACUGGACUGUAACUGACGUUGAGGCUCGAAAGCGUGGGGAGCAAACAGGAUUAGAUACCCUAGUA